UCUCCGUAGGUGAACCUGCGGAGGGAUCAUUACUGAGUGAGGGCUUCGGUCCGACCUCCAACCCUUUGUGAACCAAACUUGUUGCUUCGGUGGCGACACUGCCGCUUCGGCGGUGCGGCGCCCCCGGAGUCCAUUAAACACUGCAUCAUUGCGUCGGAGUUAAAGUAAAUUAAACAAAACUUUUAACAACGGAGCUCUUGGUUCUGGCAUCGAUGAAGAACGCAGC
rnacentral:misc_RNA from 1 species